rnacentral:tRNA from 1 species
UCCCUGGUGGUCCAGUGGCUAAGAUUCUGCCCUCCCAAUGCAGGAGGCCUGGGUUUGAUCUCUAGUCAGGGAA